rnacentral:rRNA from 1 species
CUGGCGGCGUGCCUAAUACAUGCAAGUCGAACGAGUUCUUGUUGAUGAUCGGUGCUUGCACCAAGAUUCAACAUGGAACGAGUGGCGGACGGGUGAGUAACACGUGGGUAACCUGCCCUUAAGUGGGGGAUAACAUUUGGAAACAGAUGCUAAUACCGCAUAGAUCCAAGAACCGCAUGGUUCUUGGCUGAAAGAUGGCGUAAGCUAUCGCUUUUGGAUGGACCCGCGGCGUAUUAGCUAGUUGGUGAGGUAAUGGCUCACCAAGGCGAUGAUACGUAGCCGAACUGAGAGGUUGAUCGGCCACAUUGGGACUGAGACACGGCCCAAACUCCUACGGAAGGCAGCAGUAGGGAAUCUUCCACAAUGGACGCAAGUCUGAUGGAGCAACGCCGCGUGAGUGAAGAAGGCUUUCGGGUCGUAAAACUCUGUUGUUGGAGAAGAAUGGUCGGCAGAGUAACUGUUGUCGGCGUGACGGUAUCCAACCAGAAAGCCACGGCUAACUACGUGCCAGCAGCCGCGGUAAUACGUAGGUGGCAAGCGUUAUCCGGAUUUAUUGGGCGUAAAGCGAGCGCAGGCGGUUUUUUAAGUCUGAUGUGAAAGCCCUCGGCUUAACCGAGGAAGCGCAUCGGAAACUGGGAAACUUGAGUGCAGAAGAGGACAGUGGAACUCCAUGUGUAGCGGUGAAAUGCGUAGAUAUAUGGAAGAACACCAGUGGCGAAGGCGGCUGUCUGGUCUGUAACUGACGCUGAGGCUCGAAAGCAUGGGUAGCGAACAGGAUUAGAUACCCUGGUAGUCCAUGCCGUAAACGAUGAAUGCUAGGUGUUGGAGGGUUUCCGCCCUUCAGUGCCGCAGCUAACGCAUUAAGCAUUCCGCCUGGGGAGUACGACCGCAAGGUUGAAACUCAAAGGAAUUGACGGGGGCCCGCACAAGCGGUGGAGCAUGUGGUUUAAUUCGAAGCAACGCGAAGAACCUUACCAGGUCUUGACAUCUUUUGAUCACCUGAGAGAUCAGGUUUCCCCUUCGGGGGCAAAAUGACAGGUGGUGCAUGGUUGUCGUCAGCUCGUGUCGUGAGAUGUUGGGUUAAGUCCCGCAACGAGCGCAACCCUUAUGACUAGUUGCCAGCAUUUAGUUGGGCACUCUAGUAAGACUGCCGGUGACAAACCGGAGGAAGGUGGGGAUGACGUCAAAUCAUCAUGCCCCUUAUGACCUGGGCUACACACGUGCUACAAUGGAUGGUACAACGAGUUGCGAGACCGCGAGGUCAAGCUAAUCUCUUAAAGCCAUUCUCAGUUCGGACUGUAGGCUGCAACUCGCCUACACGAAGUCGGAAUCGCUAGUAAUCGCGGAUCAGCACGCCGCGGUGAAUACGUUCCCGGGCCUUGUACACACCGCCCGUCACACCAUGAGAGUUUGUAACACCCGAAGCCGGUGGCGUAACCCUUUUAGGGAGCGAGCCGUCUAAGGUGGGACAAAUA